rnacentral:lncRNA from 1 species
UUUCACUAAGAGUAGAUUUGGAACUUAUUUUAUACUCUACCUUUUACUUUAAUUUUCUUAAUAUUUGUUAUAAAAUGUACUUUACACAUUUUUUUUUAGGAUGGAGAUAGUAUUUAUUUUAUAAGUAAAAAAUUAGGUAUGAAAUAUAAUUUUGCCUACACUCGAGUUUUAUCUUAGAUCCGCCACUGCCCAUCAUAGUUUAUAAUUCAGAGUGAAUAGCUAAAGCUAUAUUUGGUAGCUCAAUUCCAAGCUUUGGAAAUGACAUUUUCAAUACUAUAUAAUUAAAAUUUGAUGUUUGUUAACGUUAAGAUCUGUCUACGCACUCCAAUCACCAAAGCGCGUCCAAUCCUGCACAAAAAUAACUAAAGACCAAAAGCUUGACGGCUUGGGCCGCCGAGAGAUAGCUCCGGUGUGAGAAUAAGUACAGACCGAUAUAAGGUUAACAAUAGAGGCUUAAUGCUCUAGUGCUGGAAAAUAAUAAUAAAUUGUGUGUGUACCUUAAAAUCAAUGAAGUGUUUUUGUAUUUAUAAUGAUCUCACCACCUUCAUACAAUCCUUCUCCGAAUCAGGUUAAGGUUCUCACCCAAUAACCAAUCCUUGACAGGAUUGUAUCAAAUCUCCUGUAAUUAAGGAAGUGGAUUCAUAGUCCAAUACUUCCUUCCAAAUUCAGAGAUCAAAUAGAAUUAGGAUCCUCAAUCUAUAAAUCCCCCCGUCCACCAAACUCACUCCUGGUCCAAGCCCAUAUAAUUCCACAGGAUUAAUAACCCACUAUAUUCCAGAGUCCCAAAUAAUCUUGGCCCAACAUUGCCCCUAGUCUUCCACCAAAUAGAAUAUUUGAUGGAAGAGUACUCAAAACAUGGCCCAACAGUAACAAGAACACCUAAGCCAAGUCAAACAAAAUCUACUCACCAAAAAGCCCAAACAAGGCUAAAUAAGGUCCAAUCAUCAAAGAGACCCAACACCGGAUACCAAGCCAACCCUUCUAAUCCAUCCUCAUUUACCCCUAGUAAUGUGCAACCCUUGAGAUCCAAAAACAAUUGAAAAGACAAUACUAUAAAAAUUCAUUUCCCCCAAUUCAUACGGUUUCAACUGCUCAUUUGAAAUUCAAAGAUAUUUUUGCUCUCUCCCUCCUCCCAACUUCCUACCUCCAAGCUUCAUCAAUGGCUUCCCAGAACCCAAAAAACUACAUCCCCAUCUAUAUAACCCCAAUAUCAAUCAUCCCCCCGUCUCCAAAUACCGCAUCUAACUCCCCCACCACCAACACUAUGCCGGAACCAACUCCAAACACUGCUCCUUCCUCUAGCAAAAACCCACCAGAAUCUGACUCACAGAAAACCCUACUCGAAUAGUCUAAAGAAAACCAGUUUCCCCAUGUCAACACCCCUUCUCGACUCACAGAAGCUGACCACCUCUUGAUUCGUGAACACUAACAAAUCCCCGAAACCCAUCACCUGAGAACCUCUACACCCACAGACCGUAUGUACUACCGCCACGAUGGCUGGACCGCCAUUCCACUCACACUUCUGGAGAAAGGAGUUCCUCUACCCCUCCACGCCUUCAUCAUCACCCUUCUAGGGUUCAUGGGCAUCGGACUAGCCCAAUUGAUGCCCAAAUCCUACAUCCAUAUCAUUGCCUUCAUUGCCUUCUGC